AGGGGGCGGCGCGGCGGUCCGGGCGGCCGAGGCUCGGGCAGGGCGGAGGGGAAGGCUGGCAGGCGGUGUCGAUAACGCGUGGAGAGCGGCGCCGUGGGGUGAGCGCUCCCGGCGGGAACAGUCCGCUCCAUGCGUGCGGGCCGAGCUCGGCCCCUGCGAGCCACCAACAUGAAGAAAGACGUGCGGAUCCUUCUGGUGGGAGAACCUAGAGUUGGGAAGACCUCACUGAUUAUGUCUCUGGUCAGUGAAGAAUUCCCAGAAGAGGUUCCUCCCCGGGCAGAAGAAAUCACCAUCCCAGCUGAUGUCACUCCUGAGAGAGUUCCAACACACAUCGUAGAUUACUCAGAAGCAGAACAGAGUGAUGAACAACUUCAUCAGGAAAUAUCACAGGCUAAUGUCAUCUGCAUAGUAUAUGCUGUUAACAACAAGCAUUCUAUUGAUAAGGUAACGAGUCGAUGGAUUCCUCUCAUCAAUGAAAGAACAGACAAAGACAGCAGGCUACCUUUGAUAUUAGUUGGAAACAAAUCUGAUCUGGUGGAAUAUAGUAGUAUGGAGACCAUCCUUCCUAUUAUGAACCAGUACACAGAAAUAGAAACCUGUGUGGAGUGUUCUGCAAAAAACUUGAAGAAUAUAUCAGAACUCUUUUAUUAUGCACAGAAAGCUGUACUUCAUCCUACAGGGCCCCUGUACUGCCCAGAGGAGAAGGAGAUGAAACCAGCCUGUAUAAAAGCCCUUACUCGUAUAUUUAAAAUAUCUGAUCAAGAUAAUGAUGGUACUCUAAAUGAUGCGGAACUCAACUUCUUUCAGAGAAUUUGUUUUAAUACUCCAUUAGCUCCUCAAGCUCUGGAAGACGUCAAGAAUGUAGUCAGAAAACAUAUAAGUGAUGGUGUGGCUGACAGUGGGUUGACAUUGAAAGGCUUUCUUUUCUUACACACACUUUUUAUCCAGAGAGGGAGACAUGAAACUACUUGGACUGUGCUUCGGCGAUUUGGUUAUGACGACGAUUUGGAUUUGACACCUGAAUAUUUAUUCCCCGUGCUAAAAAUACCUCCUGAUUGCACUACUGAAUUAAAUCAUCAUGCAUAUUUAUUUCUCCAAAGCACUUUUGAUAAGCAUGAUUUGGAUAGAGACUGUGCUUUGUCACCUGAUGAAAUUAAAGAUUUAUUUAAAGUUUUUCCUUACAUUCCUUGGGGGCCAGAUGUGAAUAAUACAGUGUGUACAAAUGAAAGAGGCUGGAUAACCUACCAGGGAUUCCUUUCCCAGUGGACGCUUACAACUUAUUUAGAUGUACAGCGGUGCCUGGAGUAUUUGGGCUAUCUAGGCUAUUCAAUAUUGACUGAACAAGAGUCUCAAGCUUCAGCCAUUACAGUAACAAGAGAUAAAAAGAUAGACCUUCAGAAAAAGCAAACUCAAAGAAAUGUGUUCAGAUGUAAUGUCAUUGGGAUGAAAAACUGUGGGAAAAGUGGUGUUCUUCAGGCUCUUCUUGGGAGAAACUUAAUGAGGCAGAAGAAAAUUCUUGAUGAUCAUAAAUCCUACUAUGCGAUUAAUACCGUUUAUGUAUAUGGACAAGAGAAAUACUUGUUGUUGCAUGAUAUUUCAGAAUCAGAAUUUCUAACUGAAACUGAGAUCCUUUGUGAUGUUGUAUGCCUGGUAUACGAUGUCAGUAAUCCCAAGUCCUUUGAAUACUGCGCCAGGAUUUUUAAGCAACACUUUAUGGACAGCAGAAUACCCUGCUUAAUCAUAGCUGCAAAGUCAGACCUGCAUGAAGUUAAACAAGAAUAUAGUAUUUCGCCCGCUGAUUUCUGCAGGAAACACAAAAUGCCUCCACCACAAGCCUUCACUUGCAACACUGCUGAUGCACCCAGUAAGGAUAUCUUUGUUAAAUUGACAACAAUGGCCAUGUACCCAGAGGAUCAUUACAGAGACAGACUCUCCCGAGACAUGGGCAACACUGAUAGAAUAGAGAAUUUGAGAAAAAUCUGGGUCUUUCUAAAAACUGCUUUCCAUGCCCGGUUACGCUGUAUGUGCACCUGCAACAGGUGUACAUUUUGCAUCUGUCAGAACUUCCUCAACUCAGACUUGCUGCAAUCUGUAAAGAACAAAAUCUUCACUGCAGUUCUUAACAGGACCUGGGCUUGAUUAAGAUGGAAGAUCAAGCUAGUUAGAUCAAAUAAGUUAUUUGUUUCACCAUUGGACACUCACCAAGGACUAGGCAAAUGAACAGGAGAGUUUGUGUCCACCAGCAGUGUAUUAGCCGUGUCUAUGAAACGGCAUGUGACACAAGCUGACCUCAAGAGCUCCACGUUUUGGCUUCGAGCAAGUUUUGGUGCUACUGUUUUUGCAGUUUUGGGCUUUGCUAUGUACAAAGCAUUAUUGAAACAGCGAUGAUUAAAAAAUACUGGCCCUACCCCAAACAAAUACUUUUAUGUACAUUCUGAAUGCUUUAAAUUCUGCUGGAAAUACUGAAAUAUUUGUACAUGCAGAGUUACUUUACUAAUAUUUGUAAUUCAUGCGUAAGAGUAUUUUAAUUAUAGCUAUAACUGCAGUAUUGGCUAGCAUAUGGAAAGAAAAUAGCUUAACAGCCAAACUAAAAUGGCUACAUUUCAGAGGCCAAAAGGGAAUAUUUUGUAAAUAAUGUACAUAUUCAGGCAAGAUAUGGUCUCCCAAACUCAGUUCUGGAAAUGAUGUUUGUAGACAUUUUUACAUGGUAUCUUGUUAGUGCUCAGUUGGCUCACUCUCCUAGGUUUAAGUCAACCCAGAGAUUGUAUUUAAUUGUGGAUCACCUAUUUAUUUCACAUUGACUCAGAAUGAUCCUUUGGGUUCUGUAAGUACAUAAGGCACAAUUUGCCAUUUUCUUUCUGUUUUUAAAAACAAGCAAGUCAGUGUCAGCUUUUUUUUUUUUCAGUUCAAGAAAAGAGGGCCACUUAUGGUUAUUCUGCCUUGAAGCCAUUGUACAGUCUAGAAAGUUGUAUACUGAGUGUGAGGCUCUCCUUUAAGGAAGGGGUAAGCUAAAAGCAAUUAGAAGAGGCAUUAUCUAUAUAAUUGUGUUGCCACAUUUGUCAGUAUGUUGAAUUUUAUAACCCUUUCAAUCAAAUGAGAAAAACAAAUUGUAAAUUAUCAAUGUUUUUAGUUUAAAUAAACAGUCACCAUUACUACUGUUGAAUUUCUUCCUGAAGUAUAAAUCAUUCUAUAAUGGCCAUGUCUGUGAUAGUAUAAUUAUAGUACCUGCAUGUGACAUGAAGUGUUCUAUGUCUGGCUAGGGUAACCUAGAGGAAGCACUUUUUUAAAUGAUAAAAUAAAUCUAAUGAAUAUAAACUCUCAUGAUAAACCUAUUUUUUUUCAUCAUCAACCUUUUCAAGUAUUUAAAUAAAUAGCUGCUAUAUACUGUGA